rnacentral:rRNA from 1 species
AUUGAACGCUGGCGGCAGGCCUAACACAUGCAAGUCGAGCGGAUGACGGGAGCUUGCUCCUUGAUUCAGCGGCGGACGGGUGAGUAAUGCCUAGGAAUCUGCCUGGUAGUGGGGGACAACGUUUCGAAAGGAACGCUAAUACCGCAUACGUCCUACGGGAGAAAGCAGGGGACCUUCGGGCCUUGCGCUAUCAGAUGAGCCUAGGUCGGAUUAGCUAGUUGGUGAGGUAAUGGCUCACCAAGGCGACGAUCCGUAACUGGUCUGAGAGGAUGAUCAGUCACACUGGAACUGAGACACGGUCCAGACUCCUACGGGAGGCAGCAGUGGGGAAUAUUGGACAAUGGGCGAAAGCCUGAUCCAGCCAUGCCGCGUGUGUGAAGAAGGUCUUCUGAUUGUAAAGCACCUUAAGUUGGGAGGAAGGGCAGUAAGCGAAUACCUUGCUGUUUUGACGUUACCGACAGAAUAAGCACCGGCUAACUCUGUGCCAGCCGCCGCCGUAACAC